rnacentral:rRNA from 1 species
GACGAACGCUGGCGGCGUGCUUAACACAUGCAAGUCGAACGGAAAGGCCCUGCUUUUGUGGGGUGCUCGAGUGGCGAACGGGUGAGUAACACGUGAGUAACCUGCCCUUGACUUUGGGAUAACUUCAGGAAACUGGGGCUAAUACCGGAUAGGAGCUCCUGCUGCAUGGUGGGGGUUGGAAAGUUUCGGCGGUUGGGGAUGGACUCGCGGCUUAUCAGCUUGUUGGUGGGGUAGUGGCUUACCAAGGCUUUGACGGGUAGCCGGCCUGAGAGGGUGACCGGACACAUUGGGACUGAGAUGAGGAGCAGAGUCCUACGGGAGGCAGCAGGGGGGAAGAUGGCAAAAUGGGCGGAAGCCUGAGGCAGCAACGCCGCGUGCGGGAGGACGGCCGUCGGGUUGGAAACCGCUUGCGCCUGGGACGAAGCGUGAGUGACGGGAAUGGGUAAAGAAGCAACGGCUAACUACGUG